rnacentral:tRNA from 1 species
CCUGCUCAGUCCAUCCGGUUGGUGGACCCCGUCUGAUACGCGGGUCGCGCUGGGUUCGACUCCCAGGGGCAGGACC